GCUUCGGUAGUGCAACGGUUUAGCACGCGCUCCUGGAAAGAGUGAAAUAUGGGUUGGAAUCCCGCCAGACGCA